rnacentral:rRNA from 1 species
CUAGUCGAGUGACACUGCGCCGAAAAUGUACCGGGGCUAAACAUAUUACCGAAGCUGUGGAUUGUCCUUUGGACAAUGGUAGGAGAGCGUUCUAAGGGCGUUGAAGCAUGAUCGUAAGGACAUGUGGAGCGCUUAGAAGUGAGAAUGCCGGUGUGAGUAGCGAAAGACGGGUGAGAAUCCCGUCCACCGAUUGACUAAGGUUUCCAGAGGAAGGCUCGUCCGCUCUGGGUUAGUCGGGUCCUAAGCUGAGGCCGACAGGCGUAGGCGAUGGAUAACAGGUUGAUAUUCCUGUACCACCUAUAAUCGUUUUAAUCGAUGGGGGGACGCAGUAGGAUAGGCGAAGCGUGCGAUUGGAUUGCACGUCUAAGCAGUAAGGCUGAGUAUUAGGCAAAUCCGGUACUCGUUAAGGCUGAGCUGUGAUGGGGAGAAGACAUUGUGUCUUCGAGUCGUUGAUUUCACACUGCCGAGAAAAGCCUCUAGAUAGAAAAUAGGUGCCCGUACCGCAAACCGACACAGGUAGUCAAGAUGAGAAUUCUAAGGUGAGCGAGCGAACUCUCGUUAAGGAACUCGGCAAAAUGACCCCGUAACUUCGGGAGAAGGGGUGCUCUUUAGGGUUAACGCCCAGAAGAGCCGCAGUGAAUAGGCCCAAGCGACUGUUUAU